rnacentral:rRNA from 1 species
AGUGAACGCUGGCGGUAGGCCUAACACAUGCAAGUCGAACGGCAGCACAGUAAGAGCUUGCUCUUACGGGUGGCGAGUGGCGGACGGGUGAGGAAUACAUCGGAAUCUACUUUUUCGUGGGGGAUAACGUAGGGAAACUUACGCUAAUACCGCAUACGACCUACGGGUGAAAGCAGGGGAUCUUCGGACCUUGCGCGAUUGAAUGAGCCGAUGUCGGAUUAGCUAGUUGGCGGGGUAAAGGCCCACCAAGGCGACGAUCCGUAGCUGGUCUGAGAGGAUGAUCAGCCGCACUAGAGGUUAAACACGCUCCAGAGUCCUACGGUAGGCAGCAGUGGGGAAUAUUGGACAGUGGGCGCAAGCAUGAUCCAGCCAUACCGCGUGGGUGAAGAAGGCCUUCGGGUUGUAAAGCCCUUUUGUUGGGAAAGAAAAGCAGCAGGUUAAUACCCCGCUGUUCUGACGGUACCCAAAGAAUAAGCACCGGCUAACUUCGUG